GACGAACGCUGGCGGCGCGCUUAACACAUGCAAGUCGAGCGAGAACCAGUCCUUCGGGACUGGGGAAAGCGGCGAACGGGUGAGUAACACGUGGGUAAUCUGCCCUCGGCACUGGGAUAGCCCGGGGAAACCCGGAUUAAUACCGGAUAGCCUUUCGAGCCUUCGGGCUCGUCAGAAAAGGUGGCUUCGGCUUCCGGCUGAGGAUGAGCCGGCGGCGGAUUAGCUUGUUGGUGGGGUAAUGGCCCACCAAGGCGACGAUCCGUAGCUGGUCUGAGAGGACGAUCAGCCACACUGGGACUGAGACACGGCCCAGACUCCUACGGGAGGCAGCAGUGGGGAAUCUUGCGCAAUGGGCGAAAGCCUGACGCAGCGACGCCGCGUGCGGGAAGAAGGCCUUCGGGUUGUAAACCGCUUUCAGGAGGGACGAAGCCACUCGGGUUAAUAGCCCAGAGGGUGACGGUACCUCCAGAAGAAGCCCCGGCUAGCUACGUGCCAGCCGCCGCAGUAAUAC
rnacentral:rRNA from 1 species